AUGAGUGGUUAUGAACGAAUGAAUGAAACGCAUUUGUCCGUGUUUCACUCCGUCUCUAAUCGAGCUCACGGAAAGCGCUUGAGGAACAGUGUCUCUUCUGCGGCUCGGUACACUUUCAACUCAGUACAUCAUUCAC